GCUGGCGGCACGCCUAACACAUGCAAGUCGAACGAAGUAGCAAUACUUAGUGGCAGACGGGUGAGUAACAUGUAGGUAUCUGCCCUUUGGCCUGGAAUAACACGAGGAAACUUGUGCUAAUACCGGAUAAGUCUUUACGGAGAAAGCUUUAUGCACCAUUGGAUGAGCCUGCACUUGAUUAGUUUGUUGGUGGGGUAAUGGCCUACCAAGACUGUGAUCAAUAGCUGAUUUGAGAGGAUGAUCAGCCACAUUGGGACUGAGACACGGCCCAAACUCCUACGGGAGGCAGCAGUGGGGAAUCUUGCACAAUGGAGGAAACUCUGAUGCAGCGAUGCCGCGUGAGUGAAGAAGGCCCUUGGGUUGUAAAGCUCUUUCGUCGGGGAAGAAAAUGACUGUACCCGAAUAAGAAGGUCCGGCUAACUUCGUGCCAGCAGCCGCGGUAAUACGAAGGGACCUAGCGUAGUUCGGAAUUACUGGGCUUAAAGAGUUCGUAGGUGGUUGAAAAAGUUAGUGGUGAAAUCCCAGAGCUUAACUCUGGAACUGCCAUUAAAACUUU
rnacentral:rRNA from 1 species